rnacentral:rRNA from 1 species
UUACUGCGAAGGGGGGACGGAGAAGGCUAUGUUGGCCGGGCGACGGUUGUCCCGGUUUAAGCGUGUAGGUGUGUGUUCCAGGUAAAUCCGGUUCACUUUAACACUGAGGCGUGAUGACGAGGCACUACGGUGCUGAAGCAACAAAUGCCCUGCUUCCAGGAAAAGCCUCUAAGCAUCAGGUAACAUCAAAUCGUACCCCAAACCGACACAGGUGGUCAGGUAGAGAAUACCAAGGCGCUUGAGAGAACUCGGGUGAAGGAACUAGGCAAAAUGGUGCCGUAACUUCGGGAGAAGGCACGCUGACACGUAGGUGAAGUGAUUUACUCAUGGAGCUGAAGUCAGUCGAAGAUACCAGCUGGCUGCAACUGUUUAUUAAAAACACAGCACUGUGCAAACACGAAAGUGGACGUAUACGGUGUGACGCCUGCCCGGUGCCGGAAGGUUAAUUGAUGGGGUCAGCGCAAGCGAAGCUCCUGAUCGAAGCCCCGGUAAACGGCGGCCGUAACUAUAACGGUCCUAAGGUAGCGAAAUUCCUUGUCGGGUAAGUUCCGACCUGCACGAAUGGCGUAAUGAUGGCCAGGCUGUCUCCACCCGAGACUCAGUGAAAUUGAACUCGCUGUGAAGAUGCAGUGUACCCGCGGCAAGACGGAAAGACCCCGUGAACCUUUACUAUAGCUUGACACUGAACAUUGAGCCUUGAUGUGUAGGAUAGGUGGGAGGCUUUGAAGCGUGGACGCCAGUCUGCGUGGAGCCGACCUUGAAAUACCACCCUUUAAUGUUUGAUGUUCUAACGUGGACCCGUAAUCCGGGUUGCGGACAGUGUCUGGUGGGUAGUUUGACUGGGGCGGUCUCCUCCUAAAGAGUAACGGAGGAGCACGAAGGUUGGCUAAUCCUGGUCGGACAUCAGGAGGUUAGUGCAAUGGCAUAAGCCAGCUUGACUGCGAGCGUGACGGCGCGAGCAGGUGCGAAAGCAGGUCAUAGUGAUCCGGUGGUUCUGAAUGGAAGGGCCAUCGCUCAACGGAUAAAAGGUACUCCGGGGAUAACAGGCUGAUACCGCCCAAGAGUUCAUAUCGACGGCGGUGUUUGGCACCUCGAUGUCGGCUCAUCACAUCCUGGGGCUGAAGUAGGUCCCAAGGGUAUGGCUGUUCGCCAUUUAAAGUGGUACGCGAGCUGGGUUUAGAACGUCGUGAGACAGUUCGGUCCCUAUCUGCCGUGGGCGCUGGAGAACUGAGGGGGGCUGCUCCUAGUACGAGAGGACCGGAGUGGACGCAUCACUGGUGUUCGGGUUGUCAUGCCAAUGGCACUGCCCGGUAGCUAAAUGCGGAAGAGAUAAGUGCUGAAAGCAUCUAAGCACGAAACUUGCCCCGAGAUGAGUUCUCCCUGAGACUUAGAGUCUCCUGAAGGAACGUUGAAGACGACGACGUUGAUAGGCCGGGUGUGUAAGCGCAGCGAUGCGUUGAGCUAACCGGUACUAAUGAACCGUGAGGCUUAACCUUACA